rnacentral:lncRNA from 1 species
CCUUGAAAAGAGACAGCGGAAAAGCUCUCUCUCAGCUGAUCAGCAGGCAGAGGUUGUGGACUCCUCGCAGGACCGGUUUGAAGAAGGUGUUGAUAUAAGCAGAUGAGCAGCUUCCGAUCAAAUACGCGGAGCGGCCCCCCCACUCCCCAUAACCUCCCAAACACCGAGGAGCCCCAAAGAUGGCAGGAGCCCAGCUCCCCCGUUGAGGCGCUGCGAGAGCUGGAUGGACUUCUGUGGAAGGGGCUGUCUGCAGUUCUGUGGGAAGUGAGUGGGCCUGGCUCUCUGGCCUGUGUAGAAGUUGGGAUGUGUCCAGGUG